rnacentral:rRNA from 2 species
UACGAGAGGCCCAAACGUUAUUCGGAAUUACUGGGCUUAAAGAGUUCGUAGGCGGCAUUGCAAGUAGGGUGUGAAAGCCCUCGGCUCAACCGAGGAAUUGCGCUCUAAACUGCAGUGCUUGAGGAACCUAGAGGUGAGCAGAACAGAUGGUGGAGCGGUGAAAUGCGUUGAUAUCAUCUGGAAUACCGGAGGCGAAGGCGGCUCACUGGGAGUUUUCUGACGCUGAGGAACGAAAGCCAGGGUAGCGAACGGG